GGAUCUCCUAGAAUUUUCUGACCUAAUUCAACCUAAUUUGAGCCUCUAUCCUUUAAUCUCAUUGGACUCGAGAAAGGAAGAAGACUCUGAUCGGGAGUCUCCUUCCUCCCUUCCACUCAUGUGCCAAGCACAUGAUAUUACAGCCUCGUUGACAUACAACUCUCUUGUUCUCCUUCUAUAAGAGAAAUCAUACCUACUCUGUGCACUGUACGGUGAUGGAUGAUCAAAAUUACAGCCAUUUAUUUUUAUAGUGGUGCACUAAGAUGACUACUUGAUGAAUGGAAUCUAUAGAAACAAAUGACUGUGCUUAGUAUGACACAUCGCUAUAUAGUGCACGUGAUUUAUAAUAUAUUGACCUCUUCCAAUAAUGC
rnacentral:lncRNA from 1 species